rnacentral:lncRNA from 1 species
AGAAGAUAACAGGAAAGAGAAGGUCUGGUCUAAGAAAUAGGACUACAUGAGCUGUCAUCAGCUUGCAAGGACAAAAUUAUCUCACUUGCCAUAGACUGGCCAGACCAAUGUCUCAUGAGGCUACCAAAUUUCCAAGCUGUAUCAGUUGGAGCUCUAUUAGGUUGGUGCAAAAGUAACUGUGGUUUGUGUCUUUAAAAGUAGUGGCAAAAACCACAACUACUUUUGCACCAAUCUAAGAGAUCUUUCUCUUUCUCAUUUUCCGAUUUCAAACUUGCUCCUGCUUUGGAAAUAAUUUCUCAUGCUAAACACAUACGCAAUCAUGUCCUAGCUUAGUGUCUUCUCCUUUCUGUGUUGCCUACUUGUUAAUAUUCAGUUGGAUUUUGAGGAUACCUCAGCUAUACUGUUGGUCCAAGGAUGGCUCAGACCAGUGGGAUGUUCUUGGGAUUGCAUUUCACCAAGGUGCUAAAUGUCUGCCUCCAAGGUCUGUUGUUGCAGCUCAUAAUUGGUUUUUCAAGUGCAAGUUGUAGGCCUUUAAUUUGGAUGCUUUUGUGACUGAGUUAUGUUUCUUCAUUCUACAAUAUCAACAUAAGACGGUGCCUAAGUAUAUGUAAACAGAUGAUGAAGUCUCUUGCAAUUUUUCUGAUCUCCAUCAAGAACCGAAGGGACAACUGCACAUUUUCCAAUGAAACGUAAUUCAUUCAGGGAUUUUAACCAUUUUAUCUUGUCUGUAAAAUGAAAAACCAAGAUCAAAAGUGUACAGCCAUUCUGACAAAAAAAAUGAGUAGGAAGAAGAUUUGUAAAAUACACUAUUUAUUGUGGCUAUGUCAAAGGAAACAUUCUCUAGGCUGUUGAACCUCACUUUCAACCAAGAAGAUCUGCCUCUGUGAACAGACUUAAUUCUGUCUGCUAGUUGGGAGGACAUAAAAUAUUAUUGUAGGUAUUCAUGCCAUAAUUUAAGAGAUUUUGUGGUUAA